UUUCAAGAAGUAAAUGUCAGGUCCUUCUUCCUAGUGUGUUUCAGUCUGGAAGCUCUGCUGACCCUGUUGGUAUUUGAAAUGCUAGUGGCAUAGCUUCCAGCAUCACAGCAACAUACAAGCCACUGAAGUAUGACAAACUGACAGAAGAGUGGUGGUGGUGGGGGACAAUGUUUAAUCUGGCAAUGAGAAGCUAGAUGGAUACGGGGAAGGAAGAUGAUGAGACACUGGAGGCAGAAAGCCCAGCUCUUACAACUAGAGACUUUCGUAAUACUCAAGGCGAAGGCUGGGCCCUGAUAGGGGUCCUGGCAGAAAGGACCCUCAUUCUGUCCAGGACAGGCCCAGGCUGAGGGCAAGUGUAAAGGAGUUCGGGGGUAGGAAUGGGAAAACCAAGCAGCUAAAUAAGCUCAUAAAUUAUACAAUAACUUUUCGUGAAUUGCUUAUAAGGGUGGUGCUGGGAGACUUCGAGAAUUUCUAAGUAUGGAAAAGAUGAGACCUGAGAUUAGAAAAGUUUUCACUGUCUACUGACAAAUCCAGGAAGUGUUCCUAGAGAAGGUAGCAGGGGUGUAGAAAGUAGACACUGUAUGUUCAUCCAACUUGUAUCCAUUUAAUAAAUGCUUAAUAAAGAGUAUGGGCACUGAGCUAAUGUUACAAUAAUAUUACGGAACUUACAGUCUAGCGCAGGUCAGUGGGAAGCUCUGGACUAAACAGAGUAGCUCCCAUUUUUCAAGCACCCAUCUGUACUAGUCACCAGACUUCUUAUUCCUAACCCUCAGAAGAAGGCUGUAAGGUAGGCACUGUCACCCCCAUUUUACUGGCUAGGACACUGAGGCAUGGAGGGUAGUGUGCCAUGAAAGGAGUGGAGCCAGUAUGAAGCCCAAGACUCCUGUACGUCAUUGCCUCUGGAAGACAUGACCCUUCCACUGAGAAACUACAAGUCUGUAGGUAAGUCAUUUAUUGUCUCUGAGCCUCCAAGAGGAGUCAAUGAAAUUGUUUUUUGGCCUUUACUCACCCAGGUUGUUGUGAGGAGCAAAUGAGAUACAUACAGAGGCAAAUUAGGAGGGUGUGUUGUUCUCAGAGCACAGUGGGGAUGAGGACGGUGAAGAACAGAGAUGGGCUAUGAACCCAAAGCAGCUGGAGCCUGGGCCUCAUCCAGGGACAAUGUGAGCCAAGAAAGGAGCAGGCACAUUUUGAGGCUUCCUGGGUGGUGCACAUGGUUUGUGCUCCCCUAUUAACCUAAAGAGGUCUCUGCAGGGGGUGGAGCUGGAGUGAGGACAAGGUAUCCUCGGAAGUGGCUGAGGACACUGAUGGUUCUGGGACUGUCCUCUCUGCCGGACCAGGGCCAGACCUUGUGGGAGCUGAGGAGAGACCCCCUUGGACUGCAGAUGGGAAAAUAAAAUUACAUCAUGGUGAGGGGAAGACAGGAGGAGGGGUAUCCUUGGGAGAGGUGAGAGGAACAGAAAGGGGGCCCGCUGGCAUCGCCCCAGAAGUGAAUACCCAAGAGAUGGGGUAGGGGGGGAGAUCCAGGAGCCCAGGUUAAAGGAAGAAGGUCCCUGUGCUGCUUCUUGCCCCACCCCUACCUCCAUCCCCCAACGAAGAUGUCUGAUCAGCCAUUUACUACUACUCCUCAGACCCACAAGGAGGCUACCUGGUGAGGAAAGAGGUUUUUCCAAACACCAGAGAGAACCCAGAGGCCGAAGGCUUUCCAAGGCCCUAAACCCGUAACUUACUCUGCUCCUCCCAAGGCCCCAGCAGCCAUGGUCAACGAAAGGUCAAAAGGGGAGAAGGGCGUCCCACAGGGAGGGAAUUGAAUCUCAGAAAAGGAUUUCGCAUUUGAGGGGGAAAUGACAGCGUCCCUGCUCCGGCCUCCCCCUAGUGCUGCCCCCUAUCCUGGGAGCCCUCCGGCUUCCCAGCCCCUGGGUCCCCCGCCCCCUCGGGCUCCUUCCCCCCUCCCCUUCC